rfam:Capsicum annuum cultivar Zunla-1 chromosome 8, whole genome shotgun sequence
GUGUUCGCAGAAAGGAGAGAUGGUUGGCAUCCUCCAGACAGCAGCAGGAAACAGCUUUUGAGCUUUACCUGUUGUCAGGGCCUAUGUUGCUCGGACUCUGCUAAACUGUCAGCCGGUGUAUUUUU